AUGUGUCCUAUCCACAAGAAGUGCACAGACAAAGAUAGAUUUGGAGAAGCAGGCUGCACAGUGAACUCAAUAGGGGGCCAGGGAACAAGUGGCUAUUAUUCUGUCCGGACUGACAAGUACCACGGGAAAACCAUUUCCAUCAAUGGCAACUUCUUCAGCUACAGGAGCCUGAGGGCCUGUGUGGACAGAUCAUGACGUGGAACUUCCUGCUCCUGAUGCAAGUGUGGAAACUGGGCCCAACUUUGGCAACUGGAAACGUGGUCGAGCAGACACUGCUCAUGGUGUUCUACAUAGCCAACUUGAUCAAGGAGGCAGGCUUAUCCCCUGGCGUGGUCAAUAUUGUUCCUGGAUUCGGCCCUAUCUCUGGGGUUGCCAUCGAGUCCCAUGAGGGUGUGGACAAAGUGGAGUUCACAGGCUCCACUGAGGUUGGUCACCCAAACCAGAUUGCCUCAGGGAGCAGCAACAUCAAGAAAGUAACCCUGGAGCUUGGGGAAAAGAGACCCAACAUCAUCAUGUCAGACCCUGACAGGGACUGGGCUGUGGAGCAGGCCCACUUUGCCCUGUUCUUCAACCAGGGUCAGGGCUGUUGCACAGGACCUUCGUGCAUGAGGAUGUGUAUGACAAAUUCGUGGAACACAGUGUUCUAGGAUGGUUGGGAACCUCUUCAACAGCAGGACAGAGCAGGGACUGAAGGUGGAUGAGACUCAGUUCAAGAAAAUCCUCAGCUACAUCAAAUCGGGACAACUAGAAGUAGUGAAGCUGCCAUGUGGUAGUAGGCCAGCCAUGGACCGUGGUUACAUUAUCCAGCACACCAUGUUUGGAGAUGUAAAAGAAGGCAUGACCAUUACCAAGGAGGAGAUCUUCGGAUCAGUGAUCCUCAAAUUCAGGACCGUAGAGGAGGUUGUGGAGAGAGCCAAUGAUUCUAAGUAUGAACUGGUAGCAGCUGUCUUCACAAAGGACCUAGAUAAGAUCAAUUGCCUGACCCAAGUUCUGCAGGCAGGCACUGUGUGAAUCAACUGCUAUGAUGUGUUUGGGGCCCAGUCCCCAACUGGUGGCUAUAAGAUGUCAGGGAGCGGUAGGAAGCUGGGUGAGACCUACACGGAGGUGAAGACCAUCACUGUCAAAGUGCGGAACUCAUACAACAGCAUGCUGGUUUCCCCUGGCAGCACCCGAAAACCCAACAAGAUACUGACAAAAAUCACCACAGAUACUGUGUCUCCAAAGAGAAAGCCCUUCACUAAAAUGUCUUGGGACAAAGCAGUAAGAAUUUGA